UCUUUGUGAACAAAGAUGAAACAAUUACUUUUUUUCCCUGCCUGAUCCCUCCAGAAUUCAGAAACUCUCAAAAUGCUUCUUAUAAAGUACCUGAUUGCUUGCACCAUAGGCCUCACUUUUGGAGCCCACCUGCCUCACUGCCUCCUAAAAUGAGACACAACUGUUUAACUAAACUGAUCUAUUUUCAGACUAAGAGACUGGUUCCAUAGAUGGAGCAAUCUACCAACUCAACUUCUGGACUAUAAAAUUUCUUGAAUAAAUUUUAAAGGCAGGACUGGAGGGUUUCAGAAUGAGCCUCCCCAAAAUGUGUCACUUUGGCAUGUGGAUUUAUUUGAGCUGAAGACAAUCAAGGCCCAAAUGACUCAGGAAGAACUUUUUACCUUUCCCCUUAACUGCCCAAAAGAAUUUAGAUUGAGGGCCUGGUCCAGGAAGAGAGCUAUCACCAAAGAUAGCUACAGAGAAUAUGGGCUAGGUGUGGUAAAUUGGGUGGGGGGAAGCUAGGCAGGGCCUGUGGACCAAAUUCCUCUCUGUGUCCCAUUGUCUCUGUAUGGCAUGGAAAACAUUUGUUUACCAGACAUUUGCUUUUCCUAUCUUCUUGUAAAUUGUCUUCCUUCCCUUUGAAGCCCUAGACCCCUACCCUUUUCUCCGCAGCUCAGGAUGGCAUAUAAGUCUCAACUGCCUGACUUCCUGUGGGUCUCAUAUUCUUAUGGGGCUCCUGUACAUACAUAAUUAAAUUUGUUUUUCUCCUGUUAA